rnacentral:rRNA from 1 species
GAGUAACACGUGGGCAAUCUGCCCUGCACUNUGGGACAAGCCCUGGAAACGGGGUCUAAUACCGGAUACUGAUCCUCGCANGCAUCUGCGAGGUUCGAAAGCUCCGGCGGUGCAGGAUGAGCCCGCGGCCUAUCAGCUAGUUGGUGAGGUAACGGCUCACCAAGGCGACGACGGGUAGCCGGCCUGAGAGGGCGACCGGCCACACUGGGACUGAGACACGGCCCAGACUCCUACGGGAGGCAGCAGUGGGGAAUAUUGCACAAUGGGCGAAAGCCUGAUGCAGCGACGCCGCGUGAGGGAUGACGGCCUUCGGGUUGUAAACCUCUUUCAGCAGGGAAGAAGCGAAAGUGACGGUACCUGCAGAAGAAGCGCCGGCUAACUACGUGCCAGCAGCCGCGGUAAUACGUAGGGCGCAAGCGUUGUCCGGAAUUAUUGGGCGUAAAGAGCUCGUAGGCGGCUUGUCACGUCGGUUGUGAAAGCCCGGGGCUUAACCCCGGGUCUGCAGUCGAUACGGGCAGGCUAGAGUUCGGUAGGGGAGAUCGGAAUUCCUGGUGUAGCGGUGAAAUGCGCAGAUAUCAGGAGGAACACCGGUGGCGAAGGCGGAUCUCUGGGCCGAUACUGACGCUGAGGAGCGAAAGCGUGGGGAGCGAACAGGAUUAGAUACCCUGGUAGUCCACGCCGUAAACGGUGGGCACUAGGUGUGGGCAACAUUCCACGUUGUCCGUGCCGCAGCUAACGCAUUAAGUGCCCCGCC